rnacentral:rRNA from 1 species
GACGAACGCUGGCGGCGUGCUUAACACAUGCAAGUCGAGCGGUAAGGCCCUUUCGGGGGUACACGAGCGGCGAACGGGUGAGUAACACGUGGGUGACCUGCCCUCAGCUCUGGGAUAAGCCUGGGAAGCUGGGUCUAAUACUGGAUAUGACUCCACGGUGCAUGUCGUGGGGUGGAAAGCCUUGUGCGGCUGAGGAUGGGCCCGCGGCCUAUCAGCUUGUUGGUGGGGUGAUGGCCUACCAAGGCGACGACGGGUAGCCGGCCUGAGAGGGCGACCGGCCACACUGGGACUGAGACACGGCCCAGACUCCUACGGGAGGCAGCAGUGGGGAAUCUUGCGCAAUGGGCGAAAGCCUGACGCAGCGACGCCGCGUGAGGGAUGACGGCCU